GACGAACGCUGGCGGCAUGCCUAAUACAUGCAAGUCGAACGCUGAAGCACUCUGCUUGCCGCGUGCGGAUGAGUGGCGAACGGGUGAGUAACACGUGGGAAAUCUGCCUAAAAGUGGGGGAUAACAUUCGGAAACGGAUGCUAAUACCGCAUACAUUCUUGAACCGCAUGGUUCUUGAAAGAAAGACGGCUCUGCUGUCGCGUUUAGAUGAUCCCGCGGCGUAUUAGUUAGUUGGUGGGUUAAAGGCCUACCAAGACCAUGAUACGUAGCCGACCUGAGAGGGUGAUCGGCCACACUGGGACUGAGACACGGCCCAGACUCCUACGGGAGGCCGCAGUAGGGAAUCUUCCACAAUGGGUGCAAACCUGAUGGAGCAAUGCCGCGUGAAUGAAGAAGGUCUUCGGAUCGUAAAGUUCUGUUAUUAGAGAAGAACAAGUCGAGGAGUAACUGUCGCGACUUUGACGGUACCUAACAAGAAAGUCACGGCUAACUACGUG
rnacentral:rRNA from 1 species